AGAGUUUGAUCCUGGCUCAGAUUGAACGCUGGCGGCAUGCCUUACACAUGCAAGUCGAACGGCAGCGGGGACUUCGGUCCGCCGGCGAGUGGCGAACGGGUGAGUAACGUAUCGGAACGUACCUUUCAGUGGGGGAUAACGUAGCGAAAGUUACGCUAAUACCGCAUAUUCUGUGAGCAGGAAAGCAGGGGAUCGCAAGACCUUGCGCUGAUUGAGCGGCCGAUAUCAGAUUAGCUAGUUGGUGGGGUAAGGGCCUACCAAGGCUACGAUCUGUAGCGGGUCUGAGAGGAUGAUCCGCCACACUGGAACUGAGACACGGUCCAGACUCCUACGGGAGGCAGCAGUGGGGAAUUUUGGACAAUGGGGGCAACCCUGAUCCAGCCAUGCCGCGUGAGUGAAGAAGGCCUUCGGGUUGUAAAGCUCUUUCGGCCGGGAAGAAAUCGCAUAGGUUAAUACCCUGUGUGGAUGACGGUACCGGAAUAAGAAGCACCGGCUAACUACGUGCCAGCAGCCGCGGUAAUACGUAGGGUGCGAGCGUUAAUCGGAAUUACUGGGCGUAAAGCGUGCGCAGGCGGUUUUGUAAGACAG
rnacentral:rRNA from 1 species